AAGAAUGGCAGGUAAAACUUUUGUCCAAAUGUCAUGAGCAUUUCACGGAUUUUCCAGAUAUUCAAAAUAUUUUCUGUAAUGAUCUCAAGUUUGCAGAACGAUGCAAGACAAGGAGUAGUCCAUUGAUAUCCCAGGGAAAUGAACUGAAAUAAAACUACGCUAUGUUGAUGUGUAUCUCGAUAAUCUUUCUCAAGUUACAGGAUUACUUUGAGAAAAAAAGAAAAAUGAGGGAGAGAGAAUGGAGGAGAAAGAAAGACAGAAAAGAAGAGAAGUAGAGAGGAAAGAAGAAAGUGAAGAGAGAAGAGAAAGAUCGAGAUAAUGAAAUAUUUGCCGAUACUCCUCUUCGUUGGUUGUUGUGUAUUUAUAGAUGAGAUUGUGCCUGUGACUGAAUGAGAUUGAUCUG
rnacentral:lncRNA from 1 species